AAAAACAAGCAAUGGCUCGUUAGAUAAAGAAGAAUAACAUAAAUUCGCUGGAAUUAUGGACCAUCGUUAACAAAUAGAUGUAAAUUUGUUUUUGGAGCAAGGUCCGAGGAUGUAGAGAUCCUUGUGUUUGCUCAUACACUUGAAUCGCGAACUCUGAACGUUGGUAUAUCGGAAUCGCUAUAUUAUAUUAUUGAGGCAUGGAGGCUGUCAUUAAUUUAUUUUCAUUUUAUGCUUCCAUAUCCUACACCGACGUUGACAGGUCUGCUGUAUAUUCAACAUGACACAAAAUACCAAAAUGAAGCAUUUUUGAACGGGGUGCAAGGUCCGAGGAUAUCAUAUCCUUGUGUUUGCCUCCGAGUAGUAGUAGUGGAGUAACAACGAAGAAAAACAAACAAAACAAGGUCCUUCUACUAGGAAACUUCCAAGCCGACUAACAUUUGAACA
rnacentral:sRNA from 1 species